UCUCACCUGCCAGCGUCCCUCCCCCUGCCCCGCGACAAGCGGCCGCUGGCCAGUGGGCCAGUGGCUGGCAAGAGGCCACCCGCGUUGUUUGUUUGUUUCUCUUCCAGUGCGCUCCUUCUGCGGCGUCGCCCGUGCGUCUCCCGGCGGCGCGGGGCCGGACACGGCGUCGGAGGAAGACCAGCGGCGGCCGCAAGAAACGGAGCUCAUCUUCCUUGGCACGGGCACCAGCGAGGGCAUCCCGCGCGUCAGCUGCCUCACCCACCCCACCAAAACCUGCCCGCUAUGCCAUUGCCCUCCGUCUCCAUCUCCGUUUCACUCCCAGCAACGUUGCGUGAUUCAUGCCACGCUUUUUGUUUCAAAAUGUUGUUUACUUCUUCGUCCUGUCCUGCAUGCAGGUUUGCACCAAGUCGGCCAAGCCGGGGAACCGGAACAGGCGGCGCAACACCUCCAUCCUCCUGCGCUAUGCCACCCCGGCACCCCCUCUGGCACCGCCAACAUCCUUGUCGACGCUGGCAAGUUCUUCUAUCACUCGGCGCUCCAGUGGUUUCCCCUGUUUGGGUUGAGGACGAUUGACGCUGUCAUAAUUACCCAUUCUCAUGCUGAUGCCAUUGGAGCUUUGUAACCUUUGCCAACCUUUUUCAGUCCUGCUGUAACUGUUUAACUCAAAGCAACAGUGUUUGUAUUAAUCUGGACAAUAGUCCUUGUUCCUUUUUAUCUUGUCCUCUCCAAAAAGAAAAGAAAAAAAGAUAACUGCUCCCUUGAUGCAGGACUUGAUUGCCUUCGUGGUUGGACAAACAAUGUCCAGCCAUCGAUCCCAAUAUAUGUGGCGGAUUAUGAGGUGAUGAAGAUGACCCACUAUUAUUUGAUUGACACAACUGUUGCUAUACCUGGAGCUGCAGUUUCAGCAUUGCGAUUCAACAUUAUAAAAGAGGAACCAUUUAUGGUUCAUAAUCUUGAGGCUUGUAAUCUGAAAUAAUAAGUAGCAAAAUCAAGAAGUAAACAUAAUGCUGCAUACUGUUAAUGGUAACUAGUGAUUUUUUGUUUUACAAUUAUAAAGUAUGUUUUCCCUGUCAAGUCAGUGGAAUGUUGUAUGGGACUACAAUUAUAAAUUUACGCUUAUCUCCUUGUUUUGGUCAACUAUCAUUGCAAUAGGUUCACUUAAUUAGUUGAGAAUAUGUUAGUAAUAGGCCAAUUUGAAGCUCCGCAAUUCGAGUAAAUUGGAUUAGAAUGACUGCCUGAAGCAAAGUGGGAAGCUUGCCAGCAAGUGAGUUUUAGUAAAUCUGUCACGAAUUAUCGUUUAUUCUUUAAGUUAACUGUCUAAGUGCCCAUUUAAUUUGCUUUUCAUUAUAUCAGUGCAUGCCAAGCGUGUUCUCGGCACAUAACAGAUUGAAAUGCUUCAUUUAUAUUGCUGAAGGUAUGAUUUCUUCAUUUUAGGUAAUUCCUUUGCCUGUUUGGCAUGGUCAGGGUUACCGCUCUCUUGGUUUUCGCUUUGGUGACAUAUGCUACAUAAGUGAUGUCAGUGAUAUACCCGAAGAAACCUACAUACUUCUGGAAAACUGUGAACUUGUUAUAUUGGAAUGAUGCAUUUAAUGGACCAUGAGAAAGUAAACAAUGAUCUUGACAGGCUGAUGGAAACAGAGGGGCUUGACAUCCAGCUUAGCUAUGAUGGUUUCAGGAUACCUAUAAGGCUCUAGAAUUAUUGUUCUUUUGAACACAGGCAUUGUUUUAUCUUUUAAGUGCUGCUUGUUGAUGUUUACAGAGUUUCUCUAGUUCCACUUGAGUAAAAUGAUGAGUAAAAUGAUGAUUACCAAAUGUAAUCUGUUGAGAGCCUUUCAUUUUCUUUCUCCCCUCUCAAAA